AACGAACGCUGGCGGCAUGCCUAACACAUGCAAGUCGAACGAGACCUUCGGGUCUAGUGGCGCACGGGUGCGUAACGCGUGGGAACCUGCCCUUAGGUUCGGAAUAACUCCCCGAAAGGGGUGCUAAUACCGGAUAAGGUCUUCGGACCAAAGAUUUAUCGCCUUUGGAUGGGCCCGCGUUGGAUUAGCUAGUUGGUAGGGUAAAAGCCUACCAAGGCGACGAUCCAUAGCUGGUCUGAGAGGAGGAUCAGCCACGCUGGGACUGAGACACGGCCCAGACGCCUACGGAAGGGAGCGGUGUGUAAUAUUGGACAAUGGGCGAAAGCCUGAUCCAGCAAUGCCGCGUGAGUGAUGAAGCCCUUAGGGUUGUAAAUCUCUUUUACCCGGGAUGAUAAUGACAGUACCGGGAGAAUAAGCUCCGGCUAACUCCGUG
rnacentral:rRNA from 1 species